GACGAACGCUGGCGGCGUGCUUAACACAUGCAAGUCGAACGGAAAGGCCCUGCUUUUGUGGGGUGCUCGAGUGGCGAACGGGUGAGUAACACGUGAGUAACCUGCCCUUGACUUUGGGAUAACUUCAGGAAACUGGGGCUAAUACCGGAUAGGAGUUCCUGCUGCAUGGUGGGGGUUGGAAAGUUUCGGCGGUUGGGGAUGGACUCGCGGCUUAUCAGCUUGUUGGUGGGGUAGUGGCUUACCAAGGCUUUGACGGGUAGCCGGCCUGAGAGGGUGACCGGCCACAGUGGGACUGAGAUACGGCCCAGACUCCUACGGGAGGCAGCAGUGGGGAAUAUUGCACAAUGGGCGGAAGCCUGAUGCAGCAACGCCGCGUGCGGGAUGACGGCCUUCGGGUUGUAAACCGCUUUCGCCUGUGACGAAGCGUGAGUGACGGUAAUGGGUAAAGAAGCACCGGCUAACUACGUG
rnacentral:rRNA from 1 species